UGAGUUUGAUCAUGGCUCGGAUGAACGCGGCGGCGUGCUUAACACAUGCAAGUCGAACGAUGAAGCCCAGCUUGCUGGGUGGAUUAGUGGCGAACGGGUGAGUAACACGUGAGUAACCUGCCCUUGACUUUGGGAUAAGCCUGGGAAACUGGGUCUAAUACGGAUAUGACCUCUUGCCGCAUGGUGGGAGGUGGAAAGAUUUAUUGGUCUUGGAUGGACUCGCGGCCUAUCAGCUUGUUGGUGAGGUAAUGGCUCACCAAGGCGACGACGGGUAGCCGGCCUGAGAGGGUGACCGGCCACACUGGGACUGAGACACGGCCCAGACUCCUAUCGGGAGGCAGCAGUGGGGAAUAUUGCACAAUGGGCGCAAGCCUGAUGCAGAGACGCCGCGUGAGGGAUGACGGCCUUCGGGUUGUAAACCUCUUUCGUAGGGAAGAAG
rnacentral:rRNA from 1 species